rnacentral:rRNA from 1 species
GGAGUUAGCCGGUGCUUCUUCUGCGAGUAACGUCACAGAUGUAAGGUAUUAACUUACACCCUUUCCUCCUCGCUGAAAGUGCUUUACAACCCGAAGGCCUUCUUCACACACGCGGCAUGGCUGCAUCAGGGUUUCCCCCAUUGUGCAAUAUUCCCCACUGCUGCCUCCCGUAGGAGUCUGGGCCGUGUCUCAGUCCCAGUGUGGCUGAUCAUCCUCUCAGACCAGCUAGGGAUCGUCGCCUAGGUGAGCCUUUACCUCACCUACUAGCUAAUCCCACCUGGGCUUAUCCAUCAGCGCAAGGCCCGAAGGUCCCCUGCUUUCCCCCGUACGGGCGUAUGCGGUAUUAGCAGUCGUUUCCAACUGUUAUCCCCCACCAAAUGGGCAAAUUCCCAGGCAUUACUCACCCGUCCGCCGCUCGUCAUCUUCAAAAGCAAGCUUUUGAAAUGUUACCGCUCGACUUGCAUGUGUUAGGCCUGCCGCCAGCGUUCAAUCUGAGCCAGGAUCAAACUCUGA